rnacentral:tRNA from 1 species
GAGGGUAUAGCUCAGUGGUAGAGAGCGAGCUUAGCAUGCACGAGGUCCUGGGUUCAAUCCCCAGUACCUCCA